CCUGUGGUCAAAUUAUGACUUCUUAUAUAGGAUGUCAUAAAUUUUCUUGUAGAAGUCAUAAAGAAGAAAAGAUUUUUUUAUCAUUGAAAAUUUAUAAAAUUUUUAAAUGAUAAAAAUGCCCCUCCCUUCUUUAUGGCAUCCUAUGGUCAAAUUAUGACUUCCUGUGUAAGAAGUCAUAAUUUGACCACAGGAUAUCAUAAUGUGACCAU
rnacentral:lncRNA from 1 species